AAUAAAUAAAUGUGAAUAUGUUACACAAAUUUUUUAAAAAGAGAUAGAACCCGAAGCUCCAUCACUCGACAGCACCUCUCAUAGCUCCUUACACGUCACGCAACCUUAAGAAAUCCUCCUUGACUUUCACCAGAAAUAGCAAUCGAAACAAAUCUAAAAUUUCUAGUAGAAACACAAAUUGAAGCAUUUGUUUUUGUUAAGAGGGAUUAGACAUCAAAGGAAAGAGGGCUAAGGAAGUUUUGGAUUUUUUGUUUAGAGUGACAGCGAAGAUGAAGGGAUUUUUG
rnacentral:misc_RNA from 1 species